CUAUACAAGCGCUGGUGCUGUGCGGCUCCUUCCUUUUCCUUUGUCUUCAGCUUCGGUCAGGUUCAGGGUGCGAUUUUGUUGGGGUCCUUGGCGUGGCGGACACGUACGGUGCCGUUGUUGCCGGUGAUACCACGUGGCAGGAUUUUGUGGGUUGGCUGUUAGGACCCCAACAUCUACGAU